rnacentral:pre_miRNA from 1 species
AUAUCAAGCUGUUUACGGUUAUCCAAUUGAGAUUCAAGCACUUUUCUAUGUGGCUUUAAGGUGUGUUUGAAUGGAACACCUUAAAUCCAUGAAGAAAAGUGUUUGAAUUUCAAUUAGAUAACCAUAGACAACUUGAUAU